CCCAUGCUGAUGCUGGCAAUCCGUGGCGUGCGUAACGGAGUAACUGCGCCCAUUGGAUUUAGGCAAUCUGAUGGUCCAGAAAAAAUGAUCAUUGGGAGGGAAAGAAAAUUGGAGAGAAGUUUGCGUGUGACAGAGAAAAUUGACUUGAGAGUUGAGAGGCUAUAUGAACCCACCUUACUGGCACACGGAACUAGCACAAAGUGAACAGAAUUGUAAACUCUUCUCCAGCAAAGUAGUACUGAAUACUGAUUCAUUCAACUCUCCAUCCAUUUCCUCACAUAGCCAGAGACAUCAACAAACAGCUUGUUGGGUGUUGUGAGGACUUACUUGGUUUAAGCUCUCUUGAUCUCUUGCUCAAGGAUGAUGUUUGUUUCUUCUGCACCUAUUAAUUCUUCAACGACUGUGAUUUCCUUGGUCAAUUUCACCAAUGAGGCUUUUAUUUUCAGUACUGUCUUGGUUGUAGCAGAUUUUUCACCAGUGGAUUAUCUGAGUUGUUCCAAGACAUGUAGAUUUUAAUUUGGUGUUACAAAUUUAGAUUUUGGCUUGAAAGAUGUGCUCAAAAUUGUACAUUACAGACAAGCCUGUCACUGGAAUCGAUGAUGACCUGACAUUGUGGUCCAACUAAAAUUUUGAAUAAAAUUUGACAUUUAUAAAA